rnacentral:rRNA from 1 species
AUUGAACGCUGGCGGCAUGCUUUACACAUGCAAGUCGAACGGUAACAGGGAGCUUGCUCCGCUGACGAGUGGCGAACGGGUGAGUAAUGCGUCGGAACGUGCCGAGUAGUGGGGGAUAACGCAUCGAAAGGUGUGCUAAUACCGCAUACGUACUGAGGUAGAAAGUGGGGGACCUUCGGGCCUCACGCUAUUCGAGCGGCCGACGUCUGAUUAGCUAGUUGGUGAGGUAAAGGAUCACCAAGGCGACGAUCAGUAGCGGGUCUGAGAGGAUGAUCCGCCACACUGGGACUGAGACACGGCCCAGACUCCUACGGGAGGCAGCAGUGGGGAAUUUUGGACAAUGGGCGCAUGCCUGAUCCAGCCAUGCCGCGUGUCUGAAGAAGGCCUUCGGGUUGUAAAGGACUUUUGUCCGGGAGCAAAUACCCAGUGCUAAUAACGCUGGGGGCUGAGAGUACCGGAAGAAUAAGCACCGGCUAACUACGUGCCAGCCGCCGCCGUAAAAC